GCCACGGUAGCUCAGUCUGGUAGAGCACCUGCCUUGUAAGCAGGCGGUCGUGGGAUCAAAUCCCAUCCGUGGCU
rnacentral:tRNA from 1 species